rnacentral:hammerhead_ribozyme from 1 species
AUCAAUCUGACGAGUCCCAAAUAGGACGAAACGCGCGUCUUGGAU